rnacentral:rRNA from 1 species
AAUCAACGCUGGCGGCGUGCCUAACACAUGCAAGUCGAACGCGGUUAUUCAGCAAUGGGUAGCCGAGUGGCGAACGGGUGAGUAACACGUGGGUGACCUACCUUCGAAUGGGGGAUAACGUCCCGAAAGGGACGCUAAUACCGCAUAACAUCCUGUCCUUGAACGGAUGGAGAUCAAAGCCGGGGAUCGCAAGACCUGGCGUUUGAAGAGGGGGCCCNCGUCCGAUUAGCUAGUUGGGAGGUAUGCUCACCAAGCGACGAUCGGUAACCGGCCUGAGAGGGCGGACGGUCACACUGGGACUGAGACACGGCCCAGACUCC